AUGCCGCUCACUCCGCCUCGCCUUCAGCCAGACCAGCUUCAGCCAGAGGAGGCAGACACCUCUAUGUACAUGCUGUUCUUGAUCAUGUCCUGUGCGCUGCUGGGAAAGGCCCGAGCCACUCGAAUGCCCUCCCAGUGGUUUCCACUUGCACUGAAGCCAACUUCCUCCUGUGUGGACAUACCUUAUUUAGGACCCAGGUGGUUAUUGCUUUGCCUUCCCAGAUUACCUUUUGCCACCACCACUGUUGGGGAUGGAGGAGGGUUGGUGAAACAUUUUCAGCUAGAAAACAUCCUUCCCUGCAGGUACACACACACACACACCUCCAGGGAAUACAGUCUGACACAGGAUCGGUUUCUAUUUCAUUUGCCCACAGAUCUUGGGUAUUACUUGAGGUUCGUGGUCAAAAAAAUGAAUUUGAACACAAGUGAAUAUAAAAAAAUGUCUAAUAAAAAGGAUAUAGGCAUGUAUCUCUUCUCAAAGAAAAAUAACACUGCAUAUGUGAAGGAAAUGCACACAAGACACACAACAGUUUGACCAAUCAGGAUAUUAGGAGGAUUUGUCCUAAAGUCCUAAAUGCUUUGAAACAGUUUAUAAAUCUGAAUUAUAGUGUAUGAAUUUCAAUAGUAUUGACUGAAACAUUUUUAUAAUUGUUAUUAGGGCACACGGUGCCUUGGAGAAGUAUUCAUACUCUUGGAACUUUUCCACUUUUUGUCAGAGUACAACCACAAACUCCACACUCAAUGCAAAGUAGCACAUAACUGCAGAGAGGAAGGAAAAUGAUUGUUAUAAAUACAUAGCUGAAGAUGUGGAGUGGAUAGCAUUCAGUCCUCUGUGUAAAAUCAUGUGCAGUUUGAUAAGGUUUGGUCUUUCAUUAGGCUUGUCAAACAUGUGACUACGUGUAUUCUAUGUGCGUAUGAUUAAGACCGUUCCUGUGAUGGACUGUUGACCUGUCCAGGGUGUACCCCGCCUCUCGCCCGUUGACAGCUGGAGAUAAGCACCAGGACCCGUCCCCCCCCUAAUGGGAUACCUCAUCUCAUCAACUCAAACGCCUUGUUUCCACACAGCGGUGCAUCCAUGCCCUAUUGUCUGUUUCCAAAAUAAAGGUGUCCCACAACACACCAUUCGUUGACCAUCGGCAGUUGUUGGACCAUCGGCAUAUUUAGGACAGAGACACAGGCUCCUAAAUAUGUUGGACUAUAAAAAAGUGUUCAGAACUCAGUGGAAAUGAUCCAUAAGUAAUUUCCCUUUUCUUAAUGAAAAAAAAGCCUCAUCAUUGAAGUUUGUGGUUGAAACCUUACAAAAUAUGAAAAAUUCAGUGAGUACAAAUCCAUUUACAAUGCACUGCACAUUAAUUAGCUUUAUUCUACAGCACCAUGCGGCACAUUGCAAGUUCUGGAAGGUCAAACUGUGGGUGUGAAGACAGCACAAGAACCAGGCACAUCGGGCCCAGAGCAAGGAACAGAAGAAGCAUCUCAACAAACCCAGGCCUGUGGCUCUACAUCGGAAAUGUAUUUUUUUUUUUAAACAAGGAUCUUGGUAAAAAUAGACAAUCCUUAAAAAAGUCUUCAGUAAGGGGUCCAAAAAGAUAUCAAUACAUUUCUCUGUAAGCACACAAGGCCCAAAGCUUUACACAGGAGGGGAACUGUGAAAGGCUCUUGCUCUUUGAAAAUCAAGCAUCAUCAAAGUACAAGGCAUUGUGCAAAUACAUGCUCCCACAUGUAAAUGAAUGGUACUCAUAAAUAAAAAGGUAAACUGAAA